rnacentral:rRNA from 1 species
GAUGAACGCUGGCGGCGUGCCUAAUACAUGCAAGUCGAGCGAACAGACGAGGAGCUUGCUCCGCUGACGGUAGCGGCGGACGGGUGAGUAACACGUGGAUAACCUAGCUAUAAGACUGGGAUAACUUCGGGAAACCGGAGCUAAUACCGGAUGAUAUAUUGAACCGCAAUGUGCAAUAGUGAAAGACGGUUUUGCUGGCAGUUAUAGAUGGAUCCGCGCCGCAUUAGCUAGUUGGUAAGGUAACGGCUUACCAAGGCUACGAUGCUUAGCCGCCCUGAGAGCGUGAACGGACACACUGGAACUGAGACACGGUCCAGACUCCGACGGGAGGCAGCAGUAGGGAAUCUUACGCAAUGGGCGAAAGCCUGACGGAGCAACGCCGCGUGAGUGAUGAAGGUCUCCGGAUCGUAAAACUCUGUUAUUAGGGAAGAACAAAUGUGUAAGUAGCUAUGAACGUAUUGACGGUACCUACACAGAAAGCCACGGCUAACUACGUG